rnacentral:rRNA from 1 species
AUGAUCAUAGUUGCUCUAGCGAUAGUAUCACUUCAUAACUUGCAGAUUCCAGCAGCACUUGUGCGGAUAGCUCUAGCAUUACUUCGGAUUAUACCAAUUAAUAAUGGUAAUUCUAGUUAUGGAAAACCCAGCAAACAAAACCUUCGACCGUCUCUAAGUAUCUUCUACGGGAUGGUGCUUGGACAAGGAAUAUUCUAUGCCAUGGCCUGCAUGUUCGAGUUCUUUUCUUUCAUCCCUCAAAAUUCCCUCUACCACCGUGUUGGAUUUAAAGGUAAGUGGGGAAUGGAAUCUGUCAAUAUGUAUUAUGCAUAUGCGUCAGAGAAAUGCAAGCAAGGGGGUGUUCUUGCUCCGAAGAAGAUCAGCCUCUGCACCUUUGCCAUGGAUUCUGUGAAGUCGGAUUCAUCCGAUAAUCAGCUCACCGGGAUACGAAUGAUGCACCACUUUCUGCAAAGUGAACCAACCAAGGCACAGCUCCUUUCAAAACUCGCCACUUCUACCAAGAUGAUGGCCAGAAUAAUCAGAAUGUUGGAUUGGGGGACAAGUCCAAAGAAUACAGAUAUCAGAUUAUAUGCUGCGAAGGUCGUGGCAGAACUUGCAAAGAACCUUCGUGUUGUCACUAUCCCUGGUACAAUGCAGCUUGUAUCUGCACUGCUUGACACUGAAAGUAGACUUAAAAGAGGAAAUCCACUCCUAGACACAGAUGAUGAACAGGAAGAAAGACACGAUCGAGUUCUCAAUACAGAAGAUGGACAAGAGGCAGCUGACAGCCAAUUGCAGAGACAAGGCCAACUUCUGGACACCGAAAAUAUGUUGGAAACACAAACCAGCUCAACUCAACAAGUUGGCAUCCACGAACAGAACUCCUGCGUGCUCAGAUGCUGGCAGCAGAUUUUAGAAUUCUGGUCAAUGCCCGAGGAGCUGCCGCCGAUAGACCACGAUCUUCUGCCUGUACUGGCCAUGUCAAUUAUACACAGUCUUGCUGGUUGUGACCAGGGCAACUGUGUGGAAAUCAGCAAAGCAGAUGACCUCAUCCCAAAGAUCACACGAUUCACAAGAUUCAAAAGUGACACAAUGAAUACUGAGGCACAACAGAAGAUCCUGGUGAAAUCAUCAUUGAAGGUGCUGCAAAGGCUUACAAGCAUAGGCGGGAAAAUCGGCAUCACACUGCGGUCCAAGAUAUCACAAGAUCCGUUCCUCUUUAGUAACCUUGCAGAGAUCUUGGGGAACAACAAGAGCAGCCAGGAAUCAAGAAAGUUGGUGGCCGGAAUCCUCAGAAACAUGGCCAUUGAUGAGAAAACAAGGCAGGAGAUUGGUCGCAACAAAAUUAUCAUCACCAAGCUGAUGCAGGCGUUUCUCAAUGCAGAAGGAACCACGAGUACCAAUCCUGAUCACUUGUCAAGGAAGGUCGCCGGGCAAGCACUGGCAAUGCUAACAAUACAAAGUGUUCAAAACUGCUUGGUUAUACUGAAGGAGCCAGAGUUCAUGAAGGAACUCAAAAUCUUGAUCCAUGAUAAACGGUACAUAUAUGUUGCGGCAAGCAUGUUGCGUAAUCUGUGCCUGCAUAGUGAAGCCGAGCUCAGAGACUCAGACCUGAAGGAGCUAUGUCAUACCUUACGAGAGGUGUGGGAAAGAAUAAUGGACGCGGAUGGGGCAGAACUAGAGAUCCUGAUUGGGCUUAGUUCACAGAUAUGUAAAGUGAAUCCUAAAGACUUCACCCGUGAACUGGACAAUGGUCAGAUUAAGCAGAGAUUUCUGAAGAGGCUUAUCGACACACUGAAUGAAAAUAUGAAACCUAGCAGUCAUUGUCCUGGGAUCAGGAGGAUGAUAGUUGAGCAAAUCAUACACUUGAUGGAGUGCAAUUCUAGUUAUGCAGAUUGCUUGAGUGAAUUCAGGAUGACGGAAGCAUUAUCAAUGGUAGAACAAACACUGUCAGAGGCUGAGGACUACAGGCUCUUCUUGGGUGAUGAAGGAUUUAUGAAGUACAACGUGCCUUUAUCCAAUUUUGUCGCCAUAGCAAAGAAAAUGUAUGUGUUGCGCUGUGUUAUGGCCCAGGCGCAGGAGAAUAGGGAUUAA